rnacentral:rRNA from 1 species
AGAGGGCGUGAAACCGCUUAGAAGGAAACGUGAGGCGUCGCAGUAAGCCAGUGGAAUUCAAUCGGUCCGGCAGGGCUGGUGCAUUUUCCAUUGGUGCGCACUGUGGGACUUGCUGUUCUUUGUCGGUAGCAUUGCUGAAGGGAACCUCCUUUUCAGGUGGAACUUUGCGGUUGUGUCGCUUUCAUCGACUGGCUUGUGAUCAUCCAGCCUUUGGGCACUCUAGUGGCUGUGCUCUGUGGUUGCUGCCUUUGCUGAGAAAACUCGGCCUGGGCGGUAGUUGCGCUGUGUAGUUGCAAUGUGGCUGUUGGAUGUCCCGGUGUUAAUGCCGGCCACCCUCACGACCCGUCUUGAAACACGGACCAAGGAGUCUAACAUGUGCGCGAGUCAUUGGGCGUUAAACCCAUAGGCGCAAUGAAAGUAAAGGUCGGCUCGGUCGGCUAACACAUGACCCGGCGAGUUGUCGCUGGAGCAGUGUGGUCCCAUCCCGUUUGCUCGUCAAUGGGGUGGAGACAGA